AAGUCGAGCGAACUGAUUAGAAGCUUGCUUCUAUGACGUUAGCGGCGGACGGGUGAGUAACACGUGGGCAACCUGCCUGUAAGACUGGGAUAACUUCGGGAAACCGAAGCUAAUACCGGAUAGGAUCUUCUCCUUCAUGGGAGAUGAUUGAAAGAUGGUUUCGGCUAUCACUUACAGAUGGGCCCGCGGUGCAUUAGCUAGUUGGUGAGGUAACGGCUCACCAAGGCAACGAUGCAUAGCCGACCUGAGAGGGUGAUCGGCCACACUGGGACUGAGACACGGCCCAGACUCCUACGGGAGGCAGCAGUAGGGAAUCUUCCGCAAUGGACGAAAGUCUGACGGAGCAACGCCGCGUGAGUGAUGAAGGCUUUCGGGUCGUAAAACUCUGUUGUUAGGGAAGAACAAGUACGAGAGUAACUGCUCGUACCUUGACGGUACCUAACCAGAAAGCCACGGCUAACUACGUGCCAGCAGCCGCGGUAAUACGUAGGUGGCAAGCGUUAUCCGGAAUUAUUGGGCGUAAAGCGCGCGCAGGCGGUUUCUUAAGUCUGAUGUGA
rnacentral:rRNA from 1 species